GAUGAAGAACGUAGCGAAAUGCGAUACGUAAUGUGAAUUGCAGAAUUCAGUGAAUCAUCGAAUCUUUGAACGCAUAUUGCGCUCUCUGGUAUUCCGGAGAGCACGCUUGUUUGAGUAUCAGUAAACACCUCAACUUCCAUAUCUUUUUUGAAAUGGGAGUUGGACUUGAGUGAUCCCAACGCUUUUCCUCACCGAAAAGUGGCGGGUUACUUGAAAUGCAGGUGCAGCUGGACUUUUCUCUGAGCUAUAAGCAUAUCUAUUUAGUCUGCCUAAAAAACAGAUUAUUACCUUUGCUGCAGCUAACAUAAAGGAGAUUAGUUCUUGUGCUGACUGAUGCAGGAUUCACAAAGACAGGCUUCGGCCGACUUUGUAAACUCGAUCUCAAAUCAAGUAAGACUACCCGCUGAACUUAAGCAUAUCAAUAAGCGGAGGA
rnacentral:misc_RNA from 1 species